ACUCUAAUUUCAUCUCAGAUGGACCACCCCUAUGCAUUGCCUGCAUCUCCCACUGGUCUAAAGACCAGACUCUGUGAAGCCUUGGCUAGAGUGGAGAGUCUAGAGCACGAGUUGAGGAAUGUAAAGGACCGGGAACGGAGGGCAAAGAAGACUGUGUGUGAUCUUCUAGAGGAUCUGCAGGGAAAGAACCUCAUAAAUGAAGAUCUGAAAGAGAGACUCCGUUUCUACUCUGGUACCUGUCUGUCAUGGGUUCAUCAUCAACAUUGGUACCCUCAUAUUGUUGAUUCCUAAGCUGCUACAAUUUCAGCGAUAUGUCUGCACCUAUCGAUUUAGCCAGGAUCACUUGGAGCUCCUCUUCAAUUCUAUCAAGGCAUCAGGAGGCUGGAAUAACAAUCCUACUGCAGGCCAGUUCCAGGGCAUUUUCCGCCAUCUCAUGGUCCGGUGAGGUGUCUCACCAAGCAUUUCAGGAAAUGUGGUAGAACAGAAUGAGACCGUGUCCCUAUCGGCUGUUGAGAUGUCGUCGACUCUAGCAGCAGAAGAAUCUGAAGACCUUCCGUCCCCUUUUGUAAACAUCUCUGCACUUGUGUGUGACCACAGCUACCUGCCAACCCCUCUUGGGAGCCUUGUGGACAAUGCCCUUGUGGACAUUUCAGGGUUUGUUGUUCAUCAGAUUUUGAGGAAGCUGUCCUGUGAUGUGUGUCGUGCUAGCUUGGUGACAGAUGCUGUAUCUGCUUCAUUUGAUCAGCGCUACCACUUGCUUACACUGAAAAACAAUGGAGGACUGAUGAUUCCUU